GUAAAACUGGUGCUUUGAGCAAAACUCUGUGAUGAUUAUUUAGCAAACAAGCUCCCCUAUUAGAAUGGCAGAGAGGAAGAUUGCAUAUCUAGACUAAAUUACACUUUACAGGGAGAUGGCACAGAAUGGCUUUCUGCUGAGGUUACACUUAAAUUAUAGCUGUUGCUAAAGCAAACAGCUCACAGUUUAUAUGUGAAUUUGAAUUAUGUAUCCGGCAGGCAGUAUGUUUAUGGAAAAAAUAAAGUCAAGUCAAUAGAUUACUAAAUUGCUACCACAUUCGUAAAGGACAAAAAUAGCUAUAGUAGUAGGACAUCAAAAACGAGCCACAAACAGGCAUUAUUCACCAUUGUCCACGAUUCUUGAGAAGAACAGCUUGGCUCUUGAGCACCCCUGGAAUCAUUGCCGAUGACUGAUUGAACUGUAAGAAUCAGUGCUGGCUACUCCGGUUGCACGCUCCUGACUGCUUCUUCACCUCAACAGUCGUGUGUGAACAAUUGAGUAAGUUUGUUCAGUGUAAAUCCUCUUCUUUAAACUCAUUAAAGUGUGCCAAGCCUCUCUAAGAGCCC
rnacentral:lncRNA from 1 species